CUAGUGAUUGUGCCAGCAGCCGCGGUAAUACGGAGGAUCCAAGCGUUAUCCGGAAUCAUUGGGUUUAAAGGGUCCGUAGGCGGCUUUAUAAGUCAGUGGUGAAAUCUCCCGGCUCAACCGGGAAAUGGCCAUUGAUACUGUAAGGCUUGAAUUAUUAGGAAGUAACUAGAAUAUGUAGUGUAGCCGGUGAAAUGCUUAGAGAUUACAUGGAAUACCAAUUGCGAACGCAGGUUUACUUACUAAUGGAUUGACGCCUGAUGGAACAAAAGCCCUUGGGUUUGCCGAACAAGGGAAUUUAAGAUA
rnacentral:rRNA from 1 species